rnacentral:rRNA from 1 species
UACGGGGGAUGCAAGCGUUAUCCGGAAUCAUUGGGCGCAAAGCGCCUGUAGGUUGUUUAAUAAGUCUGUUGUUAAAGACUAGGGCUUAACCCUAGGAAAGCAAUGGAAACUACUAGACUUGAGUAUGAUAGGGGUAGAGGGAAUUUCUAGUGUAGCGGUGAAAUGCGUAGAUAUUAGAAAGAACACCGGUGGCGAAAGCGCUCUACUGGACCAUUACUGACACUCAGAGGCGAAAGCUAGGGUAGCAAAAGGGAUUAGAUACCCCUGUAGUCCUAGCCGUAAACGAUGGAUACUAGAUGUUGUAUGUUAUUUACAGUAUCGUAGCUAACGCGUUAAGUAUCCCGCCUGGGGAGUACGCUCGCAAGGGUG